CAUACAUCGAACUUGUUUGUUUUGCAGUUGUUCAAGGGCCCUCAAAACUAUUUUGAUGCCAUCUACACUGCACCCAACUCUGCCGCAUGUGGAGUCACUCUGAGCAUCGGCAUCGAGUAUCUACUCAUGGCCAGCCUGCAGCCCGACGGCUCGCUGUACAUCAGCUUGUGUGACUCCUUUCAGCCGUGGGACGCUUUGAGCGUCACGCAAAAGAAACUGUUGAACCACUACGGAAAGGGCUGCAAUUGCAAGAUCACACCCUGCUUCACCCGCCCGUGCGUCCCCAGCAGCAAGGCCGAGUGCUUGUGGACCGACUU